rnacentral:rRNA from 1 species
GCGGUGAAAUGCGUAGAUAUCAAGAGGAAUACCUGAGGUGAAGACGGGUUGCUAGGCUGACACUGACGCUGAGGCGCGAAAGCCAGGGGAGCAAACGGGAUUAGAUACCCCGGUAGUCCUGGCCCUAAACGAUGAAUACUUGGUGUCUGGAGUUUUUUCGCUCCGGGUGCCGUCGCUAACGUUUUAAGUAUUCCGCCUGGGGAGUACGGUCGCAAGACUGAAACUCAAAGGAAUUGACGG